rnacentral:tRNA from 1 species
CGCAAUGUAGCUCAAUGGCUAGAGCAGACGGUUGAUAACCGUCCGACGAAAGUUCGAUUCUCUCCGUUGCGA